ACCACCUCCACCAUCGUUAAUCGCACUCCCAGCCUUCACUUGCGAACAACUGCUCUGCCUCUUGCAUGUGUCCACCUCCGCCGGUCUCAGAACCCGCACCCCUGCCAGCCUCAGACACCGCCCCUUCGCUAGAUUGUUCGUGCCUCCUCUUCUCUUUGUGCGUCCUUUGCAAGGUUCAACAUUUAUUGUGAGUAUGUGAGCACGCCAUCCUCAACUUAGAUAUUACAUACAUGCUACUGUCUCAGGGCUUCUUCCCUUUUUACAAAAGAUAUACCAGAUGAUUACACUAUUUGGAACAAAGUUGUGACAAAGG